ensembl:lncRNA
CACCCAUUAGGAUGGCUGCCGUCUCACAUAAGAUGAGUGUUGGUGAGGGUGUGAGGAAAUUGGAACUCUUCUAUGUCUCUGUAAUAGUUGCAAUGUAAACUAGGCAACUGCGGAAGACUGGUGGUUCCUCCAAAAGCUAAAUGGUUACCGUGUGACCUAGCAGUUGCACUCCCAGUGUAUACCCCCAAAGAACUGGAAAUACCAAACUUAAGUGGCACCUGCACACCAGUGUUGCUUCAGCAUUGUUCACAAUAGCUAAAAGAUACGGAUAAACAAAAUGUGUAUGGAUGAACCUUGAAAAUACGCUAAGGGAAAAGCCAGACACAAAGGACAGAUAAUUCUCUUAGUCCUCUUACAUGAGGAAUCAAGAAUGGACAACUUCAUAGGGGCCGAAAAUAGAGGUUUAGAGAGGCUGAGGCAGGGGAAACGGAGUUACUGCUAAUGGCUAGAGAGUUUCUGUUUGGGUGAUGAAAGAAAAAGUUUUGGAAGUAGAUCAUAGUGAUGGUUACAUAACAUUGUCAAUGUAUUUAAUGCCACUGAAUUGUGUACUUAAUGAUGGUUAAAAAGUACCAUCCUGUGUACACCUAUUGAAACGACCAAGUUGCAGAACACUGACAACACCAAAUGCUGGCAAAGAUGUAGAGCAACAGGAAAUCGGAUUCAUUGUUGGCGGGAAAGCAAAAUAGCACAGCCACUUUGGAAGAUAAUUUUGGCAAUUAUGUACAAAACAAAACAUGUUCUUACAUACCAUCCACCAAUCGUGCUCCUUGGUAUUUACCAAAGGAGCUGAAAACUUGCCUCUACACAAAAACCGGCCCCUGCGUAUUUAUAGCAGUUUUAUUCAUAAUUGCCAAAACUUGGAAGCAACCAAAAUGUCCUUCAGCAAGUGAAUGUAUAAAUAAACGGUGGUACAUCCAGACGAGUUUUUUCCGGCACUAGAAAGAAAUCAACUUUCAAGCCAUGAGAAGAUGUGGAGGAAACGAAAUACAUUCCUAAGAAGGAAAGUUUUUACAUAUUGUAUGAUUCCAACUGUGUGACAUUCUGUAAAAGGCACAGUUAUGGUAACUAAAAAGAUCAGUGGUUUCCAGGGAUUGGGGGAGACGGAAG